CACAAAUGUCUAGUGUAACGUUGGAUAGGUUCAUUGUCAUACGGUCCCGACAAGCAGCAACGUACAGUAGUCUUCCAGCCAAAAAUAAUUACUUUUGAUUCGGGUCAGUAAUUAUAAUAGAUAACAAGUGAAAGUUGGCCGCGGUAUUCCCAUGCUAUGCAUACGAAGUAUUGUGCAUUAUAUCAACAUAUACUCAGCUAAACAUGUAUGUCAAAAUUAUCACAUCUUCUGGUUUAUAAAAUUAUCACAUCUUCGGAUUUUGUGCAAGGACAGCUUCGGGUUGCUUUUCGCUUUGGCCGAUGUUUGAAAUUUUCCGGAAGAACACUUAUUUACCGGACGUUGUCGUCUCCUCCGCAGGCUCUUCGAUCUUCGACUACGCGCGCGGCUCGACACAAAUGGAAAACAAAAAAAACCCCAAAAAAACAAGAAGAAAAAAAAUAGGAGCCGAAUUUAAGACCUCGGUGUAGGUAGGUAGGUAAUACUUUAUUUAAAAUUAACAGAAAGAAGAACACGCUAGCCCCAUCAACUCUAGGCUGGUUUCCAUUGGGGGCGUGUUUAGAUCUUAAAAAUCAUUAAAAGGAAAAUUUAAACUAAAUAUUAGUACACACAUACUGUACACGUUACUAUAUACAAAUAAUUAG